GUGCCAGCAGCCGCGGUAAUACGAAGGUCCCGAGCGUUGUUCGGAAUCACUGGGCGUAAAGGGAGCGUAGGCGGCGCGGUAAGUCAGAUGUGAAAUCCCGGGGCUCAACCCCGGAACUGCAUCCGAUACUGCCGUGCUAGAGGACUGGAGAGGCAACUGGAAUUCUCGGUGUAGCAGUGAAAUGCGUGGAGAUCGAGAGGAACACUCGUGGCGAAAGCGAGUUGCUGGACAGUAUCUGACGCUGAGGCUCGAGGGCCGGGGGAGCGAAAGGGAUUAGAUACCCCUGUAGUCCCGGCAGUAAACGGUGUGCGCUUGGUGUGAGGGGAAUCGACCCCUCUUGUGCCGGAGCUAACGCGUUAAGCGCACCGCCUGGGAAGUACGGUCGCAAGACUAAAACUCAAAGAAAUUGACGGGGACCCGCACAAGCGGUGGAGUAUGUGGCUUAAUUCGAUGCAACGCGAAGAACCUUACCUGGGCUUGACAUGCAUCUCUAAUCGCGUGAAAGCGCGUGACCCUUCGGGGGAUUUGCACAGGUGCUGCAUGGCCGUCGUCAGCUCGUGUCGUGAGAUGUUGGGUUAAGUCCCGCAACGAGCGCAACCCUUGUGAACAGUUGCCAGCGGUUCGGCCGGGAACUCUGUUCAGACUGCCCAGAUCAACUGGGAGGAAGGUGGGGACGACGUCAGGUCAGUAUGGCCCUUACGCCCAGGGCUGCACACGUACUACAAUGCCCAGUACAAUGAGAGCCGAGACCGCGAGGUGGAGGAAAUCUGAAAAACUGGGCCCAGUUCGGAUUGGAGGCUGCAACUCGCCUCCAUGAAGUUGGAAUCGCUAGUAAUGGCGCAUCAGCUACGGCGCCGUGAAUACGUUCCCGGGUCUUGUACACACCGCCCGU
rnacentral:rRNA from 1 species